rnacentral:rRNA from 1 species
UACGUAGGGUGCGAGCGUUGUCCGGAAUUAUUGGCCGUAAAGGGCUCGUAGGCGGUUUGUCGCGUCGGGAGUGAAAACUCAGGGCUUAACCCUGAGCCUGCUUCCGAUACGGGCAGACUAGAGGUAUGCAGGGGAGAACGGAAUUCCUGGUGUAGCGGUGAAAUGCGCAGAUAUCAGGAGGAACACCGGUGGCGAAGGCGGUUCUCUGGGCAUUACCUGACGCUGAGGAGCGAAAGUGUGGGGAGCGAACAGG